CCUACGGGAGGCAGCAGUGGGGAAUUUUGGACAAUGGGCGCAAGUCUGAUCCAGCCAUGCCGCGUGCGGGAAGAAGGCCUUCGGGUUGUAAACCGCUUUUGUCAGGGAAGAAAAGGUUCUGGUUAAUACCUGGGACUCAUGACGGUACCUGAAGAAUAAGCACCGGCUAACUACGUGCCAGCAGCCGCGGUAAUACGUAGGGUGCAAGCGUUAAUCGGAAUUACUGGGCGUAAAGCGUGCGCAGGCGGUUAUGCAAGACAGAGGUGAAAUCCCCGGGCUCAACCUGGGAACUGCCUUUGUGACUGCAUAGCUAGAGUACGGUAGAGGGGGAUGGAAUUCCGCGUGUAGCAGUGAAAUGCGUAGAUAUGCGGAGGAACACCGAUGGCGAAGGCAAUCCCCUGGACCUGUACUGACGCUCAUGCACGAAAGCGUGGGGAGCAAACAGGAUUAGAUACCCUGGUAGUCCACGCCCUAAACGAUGUCACUGGUUGUGGGUAGGUUUCUUCUCAGUACGUAGCUAACGCGUGAGUUGACCGCGUGGAGGUACGGCGCGUAAGGUAGUAACGUUAAAGUUAGUAGUUAGUUAGNGNGNGAGNGCGACGGACGACGACGAGGGAGGAGG
rnacentral:rRNA from 1 species